AAUGUGGAAAAAACACCAAGGUGUGGUUUUCAGGUGACAGUUUGCCUCAAUUUGCUUGCAGACUGUCCCAAGGGGGCCUAUGGGGCUGGCUGUGCUUCAGAAUGUCAGUGUGUGGAGGAGAACACCCUGGAAUGCAGCGCCAAAAAUGGCAGUUGCACCUGCAAAUCUGGUUACCAAGGCAACAGAUGCCAGAAAGCCUGCCCUGAUGGACUCUGGGGACCAGAGUGCCAGGUCUCCUGUGGACCCUGUGAGAAUGGAGGUCAAUGUAACAAAAAAACUGGAAACUGUGACUGUCCUCCUGGUUACACAGGAAAAGACUGCACCACACUUUGUCCACCAGGCACAUAUGGGAAGGACUGUAAACAGGUAUGUCAGUGUUCGGCCGAGAAAGAGGACUGUCACCCAGUGACAGGGAGAUGUACCUGUCUGCCCGGCUACCAUGGAAACCACUGUCAUCUCGAAUGUCCAAAAGGCACUUAUGGUCCCUAUUGCCAAAGGACUUGUAAGUGCUUGAAUGGUGGCAACUGUGACACCGUGAUUGGCACCUGUGACUGCCCUCCAGGCUACAUUGGGGCUGACUGCA